CCCCUCUCAGGGUAACACCUGGAGAGUUUUCAGGACUCUAGCAGUCUUGGCUACGGGAGGAAGAGUCAAGCAGAAACAUACCCAGUCCAUUUCUAGCCGGGACAGUGGCUAGCAAGUGGAAGGCAAUCUGCUACAAGU